rnacentral:pre_miRNA from 1 species
CCUGAGUGUGUCUAGAACCAUAGUUUAACUGUAAACACUAUCAAUCAAAAUUGUUGAACUAUGUAUCUGGAUGCGUUCUUU